UAGGGAAUCUUCCACAAUGGACGCAAGUCUGAUGGAGCAACGCCGCGUGAGUGAAGAAGGUUUUCGGACCGUAAAGCUCUGUUGUUGGUGAAGAAGGAUAGAGGUAGUAACUGGCCUUUAUUUGACGGUAAUCAACCAGAAAGUCACGGCUAACUACGUGCCAGCAGCCGCGGUAAAUACGUAGGUGGCAAGCGUUGUCCGGAUUUAUUGGGCGUAAAGCGAGCGCAGGCGGAAGAAUAAGUCUGAUGUGAAAGCCCUCGGCUUAACCGAGGAAUUGCAUCG
rnacentral:rRNA from 1 species